rnacentral:rRNA from 1 species
UACGGGGGGGGGCAAGCGUUGUUCGGAAUUACUGGGCGUAAAGGGCUCGUAGGCGGCCAACUAAGUCGGACGUGAAAUCCCCAGGCUCAACCUGGGAACUGCGUCCGAUACUGGAUGGCUUGAAUCCGGGAGAGGGAUGCAGAAUUCCAGGUGUAGCGGUGAAAUGCGUAGAUAUCUGGAGGAAUACCGGUGGCGAAGGCGGCAUCCUGGACCGGCAUUGACGCUGAGGAGCGAAAGCCAGGGGAGCAAAGCGGG